rnacentral:rRNA from 1 species
UGGCUCAGGACGAACGCUGGCGGCGUGCUUAACACAUGCAAGUCGAACGGAAAGGCCCUUCGGGGUGCUCGAGUGGCGAACGGGUGAGUAACACGUGGGUGAUCUGCCCUGCACUUUGGGAUAAGCCUGGGAAACUGGGUCUAAUACCGAAUAGGACCACGCGCUUCAUGGUGUGUGGUGGAAAGCUUUUGCGGUGUGGGAUGGGCCCGCGGCCUAUCAGCUUGUUGGUGGGGUAAUGGCCUACCAAGGCGACGACGGGUAGCCGGCCUGAGAGGGUGACCGGCCACACUGGGACUGAGAUACGGCCCAGACUCCUACGGGAGGCAGCAGUGGGGAAUAUUGCACAAUGGGCGCAAGCCUGAUGCAGCGACGCCGCGUGAGGGAUGACGGCCUUCGGGUUGUAAACCUCUUUCAAUAGGGACGAAGCGUGAGUGACGGUACCUAUAGAAGAAGCACCGGCCAACUACGUGCCAGCAGCCGCGGUAAUACGUAGGGUGCGAGCGUUGUCCGGAAUUACUGGGCGUAAAGAGCUCGUAGGUGGUUUGUCGCGUUGUUCGUGAAAACUCACAGCUUAACUG